GGUAGUGGUGGGUCAGUGGUUAAGCCGUUGGACUUCUGCUCUGAAGAUCAUGAAUUCAAACCCCAGCACCACCA